rnacentral:rRNA from 1 species
UGUCCGGAAUUAUUGGGCGUAAAGAGCUCGUAGGCGGCCAGUUGCGUCCGCUGUGAAAUCCCAGGGCUCAACCCUGGGCGUGCAGUGGAUACGGGCAGGCUGGAGGCAGGCAGGGGAGAACGGAAUUCCCGGUGUAGCGGUGAAAUGCGCAGAUAUCGGGAGGAACACCGGUGGCGAAGGCGGUUCUCUGGGCCUGUACUGACGCUGAGGAGCGAAAGCGUGGGGAGCGAACAGG